GACGAACGCUGGCGGCGCGCUUAACACAUGCAAGUCGAACGGAAAGGCCUGCUUUCCCUUGUGGAUUGCGGGUACUCGAGUGGCGAACGGGUGAGUAACACGUGAGUGAUCUGCCCCCAACUUGGGUAUAAGCCUGGGAAACUGGGUCUAAUUCCCGAUAGGACUGCAGGGUGGUGCCUGUGGUGGAAAACGAUUUUCUAGUGGUUGGGGAUGAGCUCGCGGCCUAUCAGCUUGUUGGUGGGGUAAUGGCCUACCAAGGCGGCGACGGGUAGCCGGCCGGGGAGGGUGGACGGCCGCAUUGGGACUGGGCUCCGGCCCAGACUCCUACGGGAGGCAGCAGUGGGGAAUAUUGCACAAUGGGCGGAAGCCUGAUGCAGCGACGCCGCGUGGGGGAUGACGGCCUUCGGGUUGUAAACUCCUUUCGACCGCGAGGAAGCCACCUGGUUGGAAGGGUGUUGACGGUAGUGGUAGAAGAAGCACCGGCUAACUACGUG
rnacentral:rRNA from 1 species